GUGUUUAAAAAAGUCACUCUAGAUGCUAUGGUGAAUAGACUACAGAGGAAAAAGGAAGGAAGCAGGGUGGUCCAUUUCUAUAACGCAGGGCAUGCAAGCUGCAAAGAUAGAGCCGAAAAAGUGAUUUCGUUAAGCGCUCUAUAGAUUUCGGCAGAGCAAAAUAGCACAUCAAAUACAUGACGAUGGACACAUGCAUCUGUUUCAUUAUCUGGGAAAUUAUCCUCAGUCUCAUACUGACACUGUUUAUGUGGGUUGAAUGAAAAUAACACUGACAUCAUGAAAUGGAGUGCUCUGUGUAAAUGAGAUGUAUUAU
rnacentral:lncRNA from 1 species